GGAUAACUCCGGGAAACCGGAGCUAAUACCGGAUACGACUCUCCAGGGCAUCCUGGGGGGUGGAAAGCUCCGGCGGUGCAGGAUGAGCCCGCGGCCUAUCAGCUGGUUGGUGGGGUGAUGGCCUACCAAGGCGACGACGGGUAGCCGGCCUGAGAGGGCGACCGGCCACACUGGGACUGAGACACGGCCCAGACUCCUACGGGAGGCAGCAGUGGGGAAUAUUGCACAAUGGGCGCAAGCCUGAUGCAGCGACGCCGCGUGAGGGAUGACGGCCUUCGGGUUGUAAACCUCUUUCAGCAGGGAAGAAGCGCGAGUGACGGUACCUGCAGAAGAAGCACCGGCUAACUACGUGCCAGCAGCCGCGGUAAUACGUAGGGUGCG
rnacentral:rRNA from 1 species